GUAUGUUUGUAAAUAAGUGAGUAGGAGAGUAAAUGAACAAGUAAAUGAGUAUAAAUGAAUAUGAGAGCAACUGAGUGAGUAAGUGCUGGACUGGCAAAAGGCAAGGAGAAAAGAGGAAGCAUAUCUGUGAAUGAGAAUGUAGGUUUAAGAUUUAAAAGCACAUAUACAGAGAGAAAAUAUGUACAUGAAAUAUAGUCUAGUCUUGAUAAUAGAUAAAUCUAGUAUUGUUAAGAGUCUAUAUUACUGAAAUAUCAAGUGAGUUUUGUUAUACUUUCUUAAAGCUAAAAAAAUCCUUCUAAAUAAAAUUCUAUUAUGAAAUUGUGAAGUCAGAAUUUAGAAUUCAGGAGAAUAGAUAUACAUGAUGAUCAUUUGUAAGUGAUGUACAUAUCUUAGAAUGCAUUCACUGAAUCACUUAAAAAUUUCCCUUAAAAUUCUAAUUAUGUGUUUCUUACUGAAUCAUUCCAUGCUUAAUGGGGAUAUGCAUGUGUUAUGGCAAGGAUCAAAAUGCCUAUCAAUGUAGCACUCAGUGAUGGAAGCUGCACCACCAUGUUUUUUUUUUUUAUUUACUUUUUUUUCCUGUCUGCUUGCUCACUAACCACCUACGCUCUCUUGACAUUCUAGGGUCACAAGAGUAUCCAGGCUGGGCGAUGGUGUAGGCUUCCCUCUCGCUCCUUGCCCCAGCCCCCUCUCUCGGGUACAAAGUGAGAGACCUUCCUUAGCACAGUUUCUGUGGCAACACUUCCAUGAGAACCUGGGCCUCAUCUUCCAGCCUUAGAAGAUAAAAAUGUGCAGCUUACGUCUUCCAGACUCUCUGUGCUGUGAAAAGCUGUGGGAGCAUGAGAUUAUCUGGCCUUGUGCAUGUAACUGCCGUGGCCUAGAAUGUGUGUACUGUAACGAAAAAUCAUGGAUUUUAUAUGCACCAUCUCUUGAGGAAAUUGCUCAAUUCCCAGUGAUAAGCGAUACUUUUUACUCUUUAAAAUGCUACAUAAUCAUACAUUCAAAAUACAUUUAUUUUGUACUGAACAACCAUGAUAUCUGAAGUCUAUUAUGGCUGUGUGAAGGAAUGAUACUUGGAAUAGAUGAUUUUGAAUACUUGUUUCCCCCAUCAAGGUGAUGAAGUUCAGAAUACUGUUUAAUGAAGCCAGAUAUGUUGAAAGUCCCUAAAAUCCAGUCUUAAGAAAAUGAGAAUAUUCAGUGACUCAUUGAUGCUCAUGCUUGAAAGAAAGAUAUCUUGAUAUGACACACAUGGCACUGCAUGCAUCAGCACUUCUUACUCUUGCACAAACAGAAGACUUGUGACCGAAGACUCAAGACACUUAAUUGCACAUUAUUUCAAAAAGAGACAAGGAAAAUAGAUAAUCUAAACUCGUUUAAACUUCAGCAUGAGCAGCAGUCACUUUCAUUUCUGUGGAAUUAUGUACAAUAAUCAAGAAGGUUAGAAUAUGUGAUUAAAACCAAUGACUUCCACUGACUGCGGUGAUUGCUUUAAUUCUGUGCAGCUCUUUGGAAUUUAUUCAAGAUAAAAAAAUAUAUUUGUUUAUCAAUAGAUUCCAAGUUAUGUCAUGGUUUGGUUGUGAUAUUUGAUGAAUGAUUUCCAUUGCACAUGUAUUGACUUGCUCUAUUGGCAGUAACUGUACUAUAAUUUCUGUAUAUCAUAGAGGAUGAAAGACAGUGGUCUUAUAUACUAUACUGGGAAGUCAAUAGAAGUUAUGUAAUCAAUCCAUUAUGCUGACUAUCAUUCCAUGGGCCAGAGUAGAUUUGCUCUUCUUUUCUUUAAAUAUUGAUGUUAACCUUUUUUUAGUUUUUUUUUCUUUUUUUUCUUACCUAAGCACCUCUUUGAUGAUGAAGUACACUAUUUUUUGCGACUGUAUUUUAAAAAUCAUACUGCCCUUUGUGUAUAUUGAAAGACAAUGCAUGGAAAGCUCUGGCCCUUUUAUUUGUUUAGACUAUAACAAUUUGAUUGUGAAUUUCAAGACUUCGGGGAAAUAUCUGCAUUAUAUUGCUGGCAAACCAAAGAGAUUUAACAGUGGCCUAUUAAAACACUAUAAUACAAAUAGUAUUUGAAAAAAAGGAAAUAAGUAUAGGCUUAUUAAACAUAAUAAAAGAUAGACGUAAAGCUAUUCAGUCAUGUGGAAACAAUUAUGCCUUUGUUGUGUCACAUCUUUAUAACGAUCCUUUUCAUUACUGUACUUUGUGGUCUGGAAUAGAAUAUGUACCGUUACCUAGUGAAAUGUUUACCUUUGAAAAGAAAAUGCACACACAAAAAAAAAACAAACUUAUUUUGACCUGCCCUCCAUCAUGAAUCUACAAAAGGCAACAGUACUAGUCUAGCACUGCAUGACAAUGUACAAGAGGCUGGAAUCAUUACUUUCUUAUGCCUCACUGGGACAUAGAGUUGCCGUUAUUUCUGCAUUGAAUACCACAAACACGACUGUAUAAUGCCAACAAAUGAUGUACACUAUAACUAUUGUCAGUGAUUAUUAAAGUAUAAUUUUA